UCAUAUCAAGAACAACGUGACUUUGAUGCUAUUGCUUAUGCUAUUUUCUACCUAUUCUUAUCAGCCAUCUUUUUGUCCCUAUGUUCUCCCACUUUUCUCAUUUAUAGUGCGCAUGUUCAGGAGUAGACUGUUGAGUUACUUAUAUUCCUCUGUUUGGGGCAGCUUUCCAUUAUUUUUCCAUGCCAAGUGUCUCCCUUUUUUCUUUUCUAUUUUACCUUCAAUUAUUUUAGUACAUAGCUCACAAUCCUUUUCUCCUUUACAUAUCAUCAUCAGUGUCAAUGAUUUGAUCAUCCAUGGUGCUGACUGCAGUGAUUGGUCUCACUGUACUUUAUCCUUCCCAAUAGAAGUGACACAGCUCCACCUCAAAGUUCUUGGGCUCCUAAAUUCAUUCCCCUAUAUUGGGCUUUUUCAUUCCUUCACUCCAGUCAGCUCUCUAUCCUCAUUAUAAUUUUUCUCUUGAACGCUUCAAAGGUCUCUUAACACUUUGAGUCUCAGGGUGCCUUUAUUGAUAUCCUAAAUGACUUUUCAUGAGUGGGUCACAGUGUAGCCAUGAACACAGCAGCAGCCACCAGCCAGGGGAAGCUCAUGUUGCCUUGCACUUCUGUACUUAAUCUCAGGAAUCCAAGCCUUGGUUUAUUACAAGCUUAUGCUCACUGACUUCAGCUGGACCCUCAUUACUGCAUAGCAAGGCCAAUCUGCAGUAUUGAUCACCACCGCGUACGUCCUGCAUUAGCAUGAGUGACAUAAUGGAUUCUUCUCCUAUCCCUUUGACUGCUUCUUGUCAUUUCUCCCUUCUACUGUAGCAAGUACCCC
rnacentral:lncRNA from 1 species